AUUGAACGCUGGCGGCAGGCCUAACACAUGCAAGUCGAGCGGAUGAAGGGAGCUUGCUCCUGGAUUCAGCGGCGGACGGGUGAGUAAUGCCUAGGAAUCUGCCUGGUAGUGGGGGAUAACGUCCGGAAACGGGCGCUAAUACCGCAUACGUCCUGAGGGAGAAAGGGGGGGAUCUUCGGACCUCACGCUCUCAGAUGAGCCUAGGUCGGAUUAGCUAGUUGGUGGGGUAAAGGCCUACCAAGGCGACGAUCCGUAACUGGUCUGAGAGGAUGAUCAGUCACACUGGAACUGAGACACGGUCCAGACUCCUACGGGAGGCAGCAGUGGGGAAUAUUGGACAAUGGGCGAAAGCCUGAUCCAGCCAUGCCGCGUGUGUGAAGAAGGUCUUCGGAUUGUAAAGCACUUUAAGUUGGGAGGAAGGGCAGUAAGUUAAUACCUUGCUGUUUUGACGUUACCAACAGAAUAAGCACCGGCUAACUUCGUG
rnacentral:rRNA from 1 species